CUUGGAACAGUUUGGGCCAUCAGCCUACUGUUCCUCCCCCGGGACAAUCUGGGUCACCAGCCCUAUUGUUCUUCCAGUGUUCGGGACGGCUAGGACCCCACUCAAGGGUGCCGCGGACCCCCCUGUAGGAUAGACAGGGCGAGAGGAGUGGGAAGUGUUGAAAGUGUUAAAGAGUUAGACUUAGAGAGAGAAAACAGUUUCUGAAGUUAAAAGGCCAAAGAAAAGCCUGAUCUUUUGAUAGCUUAAAGCAAAAUCUUUUACUAUACUUAAUUUUCUGACAUGGGUAAUACUGAAUCAAAUGAAAGACAGCUCUUUAUAGGAGUAAUUUUACAGUUAUUAGGUAAAAGUGGAAUCAAAGUUAAAAAAUCUGCCAUUCAAUCAUUUCUUUCAUUUGUACAAGAGCACUGUCCCUGGUUUCCAGACGAAGGCUCUGUUAACUUAGAUGUCUGGGAAAAAGUAGGAAAACAGCUAAAAACUUACCACGCCGAACACGGCUCAGAAAAGGUGCCUAAUGACGCCUUUUCCUUAUGGAAUAUCAUUAGAGAUGUCUUAGACCCUGCCCCUGAUUCAGAAAAAGUACAUCUUAAAAGUGACAGUGAAGAAAAUGCUGUAGCUAAACCUGCCCCUGAAUCUAAAAGAGUAACUUUUAAAGAGGAAAAUGAUGUUGAAACUGUAGUUAAACCUGAGGAAAAUGAGAAAAACGAAGACCCGCCCGACUAUCGGCAAUUAAGAAAAAUGUUAGCAGCCAUGACUACUCAGGAACAACUUAAAGAUAGGGAUGAAAAACAAGAUCAGCCUUCCCCAAAAGAAAAAGAGAAUUUAGGCGAGAUCACAGUUAAAUAUCACCCUGAUGGAGAUCGGCAUCUCUUAAACAAAGAUGCCCCAAAAGGCUUAAGAGAAGCUUCCCCUGUCAGGCCAUCCGCUCCAAAGAGCUUAAGGGAAACGUCUCCCAUCAGGCCAUAUGCCCCCAGGGACUCCCAAGAGACCGUCCCACUUAAUCCAUAUGUAAGCUUUGGAUACCAAACAGUUCAAAGAGCUCCUGAGUACAGAGCAGAGAAUGUGGAACCUAUGCCAUUGCCAC
rnacentral:lncRNA from 1 species